rnacentral:tRNA from 1 species
GCCUGGAUGGCUUAGAUGGUUGAGCGCCUGACUUUGACUCAGGUCAUGAUCUCGCAGUUCACGAGUUUGAGCCCCGCAUCAGGCU